AUGUCACUACAUCGAAUGAAGGCUACCAUCAUUGGUCUACUAGAGACAAAUCGAGCAAAUGAAUGGAUUGUAACAGAGAAACUAGGAGAUGCUCUCAAGCCUAAAGCAGGCUUGAAAGCACCAAGAAAACCUCGGUUCAGAAUUGGAGAAAGGUAUGCAUUCUUCCAUAGACUUGCUGUGUAAUUUAGUCAUGCCCUCCUUUUUAAAGUAAUAUCAUCUAUACUAGAGAAUUUCUGAUCAAUAUUUGUUAUUUUGUUCUUAAACUGUGACAGACUCCAUUUACUAGAGCUUGCAGUUGGAGCUUUCCUAUUAUAUGUUGGCUGGUAUGAUGUUUUCUUUGGAAAAAAUCACUUCUUCAUAUUCCUUUUUAUCCAAGCAGCUGCCUUCUUCAUCGUGGGGUUUGGGUACGUUGGCACCUUUGUCCCAAACUCUUAGAGGAACUCCCAACAAUGAUACUGAAGUUCUUUUUGCCAUUUUGUUAAUGUGUCUGUAUAAUUUCUGCUUCAGCAACAUAUACAUGACCAUUCAUACCGACAAUAUCUUGAAAUUAUAGCUUUGUAAAAAAGAACAGAACUAUAUAUGGUCAAUUUUAUAGGCUCGCAUAAUAUUUGAGUUAGUGAUUCGAAAAAGUUAGUUCUCUUUGUGUAUACUUUAAAGGAAAAUUACAGAACAAAAGGAUUGUUACCAGAAUGUGCAUUAUACAGAAAGGAGGAACUGAAGGCAGUUUGUGGGAAGGACCCAGACCCCAAAGUAAACAUCUUUGAGUGGUUUUUUUUUUCUAGCUUUUUAUCAUAUUUUUCUCUGUUCUUAUGCCCUUAUUUUGUUGGAUUUCUUUGAAGAAGAAUAAACAGUAAACAGUUGGGAAAGGAAAAGAUCAAUGUUACAUCUCUCUCUCUCUCUCUCUCUCUCUCUCUCUCUCUCUCUGUGUUUUGCAAGCAUUAGGUAUGUAUGGUAGAUAUGUUACUGACCAAUAGGUAGCACAGUGAAGGAGAGUAAAUAACUGAACAUUAUGCAGGAAAAUAAUGAACAAUGAAAUGGCUACAGAGAGUUGAAUGAUUCAUACACCAAGAUUACUUUUCCCUUGACACUACAGGAAAUUAGUCUUUUAUUAACCCAUGAAAACAAUUAUUUAUUAAAUGAUUGUUGCAUCACACUCACCACUUGUCCCAAGAAAUGGUAGCAAUUGUUUGUGUGGUUGGAUUAGUCAGGCUCAUCAUUAAUAAUUUCAUGAAGCAGUAGAGGCCUGUCAUAAAUUAAAGUAACCCAAAGAAUUUAUUAGUUCACAUAUCUGCUUCCUUUAAAAAAAAAAAUUAAAUGUACAUGGCAUACGUAGAUGGAACUUAUUAAUAACUUUACCAAGAACAGAGUGCCUAACCCAACUAUAGUCUCAUCCUCUUAAAGCCUAAUUGUGCUAUAUUGGCCUUCAACGAAACCAAUCAAUGAAUUUAUCCUUUUUACUCUUAUUUUAAUUAUAUUAUCAUUAUUAAUGACAGUAUAAAGUAUUAUAAGCAUUGGUGGUGCUAAAAAUUUUAGCUUUUGGCCCUACAAAAGAUUACUUAAUCUAUUUUACCAUCUCACUUUACAAACACUCAACAUCAAUGGUUUUAUUUUAGUAUUUAACAUAUUAAAAUAAUAUAAAUAACACAAUAAAAUAAUAUAUCCACUACUAUAAAUAACAACCAAAACCAAAAGGAAAUAAUCAUUAAUGCAGCCCUAUUUUUCUUAUAUUGGUUGUUAAAUUUGGUAGUAUGGCAAUUUGACACCACCAAUGCUAAUGCUCAAGUGAAACCUACUAAUGACUGGUUUGGGCCUCACAAAAUUUCAUGGGCAGUCCUUUAAGCACAGAAAAAAAGGCAUGGGCACAAAGGAUCAAAUAUUCUGCAGAUGGAGCUCCAUUAGUUUGUCAUUUUUGGAUCUUAAGCAACUAACCUAUGAAGGCCCAUGGAUUUGUACCUGAUGGAUUUACUUAUAGCAUACUUUUUUAUGGGCAUUUGAGGUGUGGUGAUGGUGAGGCUGUAUUGUUUUUGUAUAAAGAAGCAAAUGAGAAAGGGGAAACGUUUAAAUACUAUGCUUGUAGGACUUGGUUGAAUAGGUUUUGAAAAACUAAUAGAGUGGACACAAUGGUGAAAGGACAUUGUCGAAGAGGUAAUGUAGACAAUCUGAACAAGAGCAAUGACACAACAUUGUUCAUAAUUUAUUAAGGUGUAAGUUAGGAAUGGAGCAAUAUUAUUUACAUUAGCCCACCAACACCAUUUUUAUAAAUCACCAAUUUACGACAUGCCAAAUUAACAAUUGUAAAAAAGUUGUCCCUGUACUUAUUGUGUGAACUCUGAGAAAACGGGAAACCAUGGAUUCCGGCCAAACUGCAUCACUUGAAUCCUUUAAUUGACAGUUUUGGUGACAUGGGGGAGAUGAAUGAGGCAGAAGAAUGGAUAAAGGGGAUGGCAUAGAAGGGAGUUUUCCCAAAUAUUGAGACAUAUAAUACCCUAAUUGAUGACCUUCUGACAUGAGGGAGGUUGAAAGAGGCCCAGUUAGUCUGCUAAAAAAUGAGCGUUAAAACGAUUUGGAUGAUUGACUGAUUGGAGCACAAAAGGAUUAUUCUGCUGUUGCCAAAAGAUAGGAGAGGUUCUCAGGUGUUGUCAAGUGAGGCACAGCAAUUUAUAAGUAUCAAUAAAGAGAGACACAUGAUAUUUUAAGCUUAUGAUCUGGUGCAUGACUUUUAUGCUAAGGACAUUGGUUUGUGGCUGGAAAAAAAAUUCUAGCAUUAACACUUACUGCCAGGGAAUAUCUAUGCCAUGGAAUAUGUUUUUUCCUUUUGCCAUUUGGAGCCUUUGGCUUCAUAGAAAUAAAAUUGUGUUCAAAAGCUCUCCUCCAAACCAUGAGCUGGGUAGGGAGGUCUGUGCUAUUGCCAAUGAGUACUGUGCCUCUUGGUCUAAGAGGGUUAAAAGGAAGCAGGUUGUCAAAGUCAGGUGGAAUAAACCUGAAGUUGGCUGGGUCAAGCUUAACCCAUAUGGCUCUUCAUUACGCAAUCGGGAUUUCACUAGCGGAGGGGGCCUUAUUCGAGACCAUAAUGGGGUUUGGAUCAAAGGCUUCACCCACUCUAUUGGGGUAUUCACCAGUGUUGAUGCUGAACUGUGGGCUCUAAGGGAAGGAUUACUUUUAUGUACUAGCUUGAAUUUUGUGGAUGUGGAAAUUGAAUUAGAUGCCAAAGUAGUGCUUGGAAGGAUAUCUAAUGAGUAUAAUAGUAGUUUGCAUCAUGCUUCUCUCAUUAUCGAUUGCAGGACCCUCAUUAGCCAAUUCCUCAAGCAAAGAUGA
rnacentral:sRNA from 1 species